GCCAGCAUCCUAGCCGAAGCGCGGACCUCAGUCCCGGCUGGCCGUAUUACACCCUGGGCUAUAACACCUCCACCGAAGUGGAGGCCACAUUCCCAGAGCCUUUAUCCGGCCGCCGAAACUGAUGCUGGCCUGUCCAAACUGAGUAAACCGGUCAGAAGACCGGCCGAACAGUUUAAACAAGUCUGAUUGCAAGCGCUUCCCUUUCAACAAUUUCACGUGCUUUUUAACUCUCUUUCCAAAGUGCUUUUCAUCUUUCGAUCACUCUACUUGUGCGCUAUCGGUCUCUCGCCAAUAUUUAGCUUUAGAAGAAAUUUACCUCCCAUUUAGAGCUGCAUUCCCAAACAACUCGACUCGUCGAAGGAGAUUUACAUAGGGUGCCAUUUCCUGUCACAUACGGGAUUCUCACCCUCUAUGACGUCCUGUUCCAAGGAACUUAGACAGGCGGCUUCCCCAAAUCAUCCUCUACAAAUUACAAUGCGAACCCGAAGGCUAGCUUUCAAAUUUGAGCUGUUGCCGCUUCACUCGCCGUUACUAGGGCA
rnacentral:rRNA from 1 species